rfam:Dipodomys ordii contig_33155, whole genome shotgun sequence.
GGCAAGGUGGCUCAGUGGUAGAGCACUUGCCUUGCAUGCAUGAGGCCCUGGGAUUGAUUCCCCAGUACCA